GAUGAACGCUAGCUACAGGCUUAACACAUGCAAGUCGAGGGGAAACGACAUCGAAAGCUUGCUUUUGAUGGGCGUCGACCGGCGCACGGGUGAGUAACGCGUAUCCAACCUGCCCACCACUUGGGGAUAACCUUGCGAAAGUAAGACUAAUACCCAAUGAUAUCUCUAGAAGACAUCUGAAAGAGAUUAAAGAUUUAUCGGUGAUGGAUGGGGAUGCGUCUGAUUAGCUUGUUGGCGGGGUAACGGCCCACCAAGGCAACGAUCAGUAGGGGUUCUGAGAGGAAGGUCCCCCACAUUGGAACUGAGACACGGUCCAAAACUCCUACGGGAGGCAGCAGUGAGGAAUAUUGGGUCAAUGGGCGAGAGCCUGAACCAGCCAAGUAGCGUGCAGGAUGAC
rnacentral:rRNA from 1 species